GAUGAAGAACGUAGCAAAAUGCGAUAAGUAAUGUGAAUUGCAGAAUUCAGUGAAUCAUCGAAUGUUUGAACGCACAUUGCGCCUGCCAGUAUUCUGGCGGGCAUGCCUGUUCGAGCGUCAUUUCAACCCUCAAGCACAGCUUGGUGUUGGGACUCGCGUUAAUUCGCGUUCCCCAAAUUGAUUGGCGGUCACGUCGAGCUUCCAUAGCGUAGUAGUAAAACCCUCGUUACUGGUAAUCGUCGCGGCCACGCCGUUAAACCCCAACUUCUGAAUGUUGACCUCGGAUCAGGUAGGAAUACCCGCUGAACUUAAGCAUAUCAAUAAGCGGAGGA
rnacentral:misc_RNA from 1 species